GUGGGCGUUGUGGAAUUGGUAGACACGUUAGACAUAGGAUCUAGUGCCGUGAGGUGUGAGAGUUCAAGUUUCUCCGCCCGUA
rnacentral:tRNA from 1 species